rnacentral:lncRNA from 1 species
CCUGACACUGAUUUCAGGUAGAAGUUUCAGAAACCUCUGCAGACUUGACCAUUGCUCACUGUGAGGCUUUUCCCUAGGGUGGCAGAUGGUGGGACAUUCAUUGGAAAGCUCCUCUUGUGCAUCUUCCUGAAGGCUGCUUGCCACAGAUGGUUCCACAUCAAUACUGGACCUUCCAAGGACUCCCUAUAAACUGUGAGAAG